rnacentral:rRNA from 1 species
GGAUGAUGUGGUUUAAUUCGAUGCAACGCGAAAAACCUUACCCACCUUUGACAUGUACGGAAUUCGCCAGAGAUGGCUUAGUGCUCGAAAGAGAACCGUAACACAGGUGCUGCAUGGCUGUCGUCAGCUCGUGUCGUGAGAUGUUGGGUUAAGUCCCGCAACGAGCGCAACCCUUGUCAUUAGUUGCUACAUUUAGUUGGGCACUCUAAUGAGACUGCCGGUGACAAACCGGAGGAAGGUGGGGAUGACGUCAAGUCCUCAUGGCCCUUAUAGGUGGGGCUACACACGUCAUACAAUGGCUGGUACAAAGGGUUGCCAACCCGCGAGGGGGAGCUAAUCCCAUAAAACCAGUCGUAGUCCGGAUCGCAGUCUGCAACUCGACUGCGUGAAAUCGGAAUCGCUAGUAAUCGUGGAUCAGAAUGUCACGGUGAAUACGUUCCCGGGUCUUGUACACACCGCCCGUCACACCAUGGGAGCGGGUUCUGCCAGAAGUAGUUAGCUUAACCGCAAGGAGGGCGAUUACCACGGCAGGGUUCGUGACUGGGGUGAAGUCGUAACAA